GUGCCCUCUUUCGCAGCUCAUAUACUAAAAUUAGAGCAAUACAGAGAAGAUUAGCAUUGCCCCUGUACAACGAUAACAUGCAAAUUCGUGAAACACUUCAGAUCUCU